AGCCUUCUGAACCCGUGCCGAAAUUUCGUCAGGCACCAGACCAUCAGUACUGAUGAGAAUCUCAAGAUAAGUGAAGUG
rnacentral:pre_miRNA from 1 species